GAUGGUGAAGUAUUUCCUGGGCCAGAGUGUGCUCCAGAGGUCCUGGGUCCAAGUGUUCGCCGCCUAAUGACAGCGGUACCCAAAUCCCUACAGCAAACACAGUACACAGGGUGGUGACCCUUGAGCAGAGGCUCCUGUCCUGGCAACCUGACCAAGACCAGCAGAUGCCCUGCUGGGCUGAGCCACUGUUUCCUGCCAGUGCUGCUCGCUCGGUGUCCAUCCUGGAACACUCUACUGUGAAGCCACGGAAACAGACAUGACCACCUCACCUGGAACAUCAACCACACCCAGCUGUGGUGGUAGAGGAACCACGCGCUUACUCUGGGAACUCUGACAGCAGCGCCUGGACCCAAAUCCACUGGAAAGCCUGGGUCUCCUGUAGCUUAUUUAACCAUCUCCAGAGCUGUCCAGCAAUUUGGUCUCACCCAAUUCAAAACCAACGUGAUCACGACUAGGAAGGGUUUUGAAUACAUCUUGGCCAAGCUGCACAGUGUGGCCCCUUCCAAAACACUUAUUGAGACAGCUAAGGGACCCAAGGAGAAGGCAAAGGAGACAGCACUGGAAGCUGCAGAGAAGGCCAAAGACCCAGCCAUCCAGGGAGCCCCCAAACAGCAGCUGCAGUUAG
rnacentral:lncRNA from 1 species